rnacentral:rRNA from 1 species
AUUGAACGCUGGCGGCAGGCUUAACACAUGCAAGUCGAGCGGGGAAGGGUAGCUUGCUACCUAACCUAGCGGCGGACGGGUGAGUAAUGCUUAGGAAUCUGCCAUUUAGUGGGGGACAACAUUCCGAAAGGAAUGCUAAUACCGCAUACGUCCUACGGGAGAAAGCAGGGGAUCUUCGGACCUUGCGCUAAAUGAUGAGCCUAAGUCGGAUUAGCUAGUUGGUGGGGUAAAGGCCUACCAAGGCGACGAUCUGUAGCGGGUCUGAGAGGAUGAUCCGCCACACGGGGACUGAGACACGGCCCAGACUCCUACGGGAGGCAGCAGUGGGGAAUAUUGGACAAUGGGCGGAAGCCUGAUCCAGCCAUGCCGCGUGUGUGAAGAAGGCCUUAUGGUUGUAAAGCACUUUAAGCGAGGAGGAGGCUACUAGUAUUAAUACUACUGGAUAGUGGACGUUACUCGCAGAAUAAGCACCGGCUAACUCUGUGCCAGCAGCCGCAGUAACAC